rnacentral:piRNA from 1 species
UGAGAAAUGAUCAUAAAAGUGAAGGGCUAG